CGGGGAUGCCUUAGUAACGGCGAGUGAAGCGGCAAAAGCUCAAAUUUGAAAUCUGGUACCUUUGGUGCCCGAGUUGUAAUUUGGAGAGGGCAACUUUGGGACCGUUCCUUGUCUAUGUUCCUUGGAACAGGACGUCAUAGAGGGUGAGAAUCCCGUGUGGCGAGGAGUGCGGUUCUAUGUAAAGUGCCUUCGAAGAGUCGAGUUGUUUGGGAAUGCAGCUCUAAGUGGGUGGUAAAUUCCAUCUAAAGCUAAAUAUUGGCGAGAGACCGAUAGCGAACAAGUACAGUGAUGGAAAGAUGAAAAGAACUUUGAAAAGAGAGUGAAAAAGUACGUGAAAUUGUUGAAAGGGAAGGGCAUUUGAUCAGACAUGGUGUUUUGCGCCCUCUGCUCCUUGUGGGUGGGGGAAUCUCGCAGUUCACUGGGCCAGCAUCAGUUUUGGUGGCAGGAUAAAUCCGUAGGAAUGUAACUUGCUUCGGGAAGUAUUAUAGCCUAUGGGAAUACUGCCAGCUGGGACUGAGGACUGCGACGUAAGUCAAGGAUGCUGGCAUAAUGGUUAUAUGCCGCCCGUC
rnacentral:rRNA from 1 species